CCCCCAGGCUUUUGCAUUUGCUGUUCCUUCUACCUGGAAGAAACGCUCUCCCAUCUGCUCUGUGCACGGCUGGUUCCUCUCAAAUAUCGCAUCUUCAAAGAAGGACCACUCACAAGUGACCUCAUCCAAAAGAGCCUCCCUUCUCCCAGCUAUUCCAGAGAUCGGAAGAGCA